ACGCUGGCGGCGUGCUUAACACAUGCAAGUCGAACGGAAAGGCCCUGCUUUUGUGGGGUGCUCGAGUGGCGAACGGGUGAGUAACACGUGAGUAACCUGCCCUUGACUUUGGGGUAACUUCAGGAAACUGGGGCUAAUACCGGAUAGGAGCUCCUGCUGCAUGGUGGGGGUUGGAAAGUUUCGGCGGUUGGGGAUGGACUCGCGGCUUAUCAGCUUGUUGGUGGGGUAGUGGCUUACCAAGGCUUUGACGGGUAGCCGGCCUGAGAGGGUGACCGGCCACAUUGGGACUGAGAUACGGCCCAGACUCCUACGGGAGGCAGCAGUGGGGAAUAUUGCACAAUGGGCGGAAGCCUGAUGCAGCAACGCCGCGUGCGGGAUGACGGCCUUCGGGUUGUAAACCGCUUUCGCCUGUGACGAGGCGUGAGUGACGGUAAUGGGUAAAGAAGCACCGGCUAACUACGUG
rnacentral:rRNA from 1 species